AACGGAGGAGUACGAAGGUGCGCUCAGACCGGUCGGAAAUCGGUCGUAGAGUAUAAAGGCAAAAGCGCGCUUGACUGCGAGACAGACACGUCGAGCAGGUACGAAAGUAGGUCUUAGUGAUCCGGUGGUUCUGUAUGGAAGGGCCAUCGCUCAACGGAUAAAAGGUACUCCGGGGAUAACAGGCUGAUACCGCCCAAGAGUUCAUAUCGACGGCGGUGUUUGGCACCUCGAUGUCGGCUCAUCACAUCCUGGGGCUGAAGCCGGUCCCAAGGGUAUGGCUGUUCGCCAUUUAAAGUGGUACGCGAGCUGGGUUUAGAACGUCGUGAGACAGUUCGGUCCCUAUCUGCCGUGGACGUUUGAGAUUUGAGAGGGGCUGCUCCUAGUACGAGAGGACCGGAGUGGACGAACCUCUGGUGUUCCGGUUGUCACGCCAGUGGCAUUGCCGGGUAGCUAUGUUCGGAAAAGAUAACCGCUGAAAGCAUCUAAGCGGGAAACUUGCCUCAAGAUGAGAUCUCACUGGAACCUUGAGUUCCCU
rnacentral:rRNA from 1 species